rnacentral:rRNA from 1 species
AGCGAACGCUGGCGGCAGGCCUAAAACAUGCAAGUCGAGCGGGCAUAGCAAUAUGUCAGCGGCGGACGGGUGAAUAACACGUGGGAACAUGCCCUUUGGUACGGAACAACUCAGGGAAACUUGAGCUAAUACCGUAUGUGCCGGUAACGGGAAAGAUUUAUCGCCAAAGGAUUGGCCCGCGUCCGAUUAGCUAGUUGGUGAGGUAACGGCUCACCAAGGCGACGAUCGGUAGCUGGUUUGAGAGAACGAUCAGCCACACUGGGACUGAGACACGGCCCAGACUCCUACGGGAGGCAGCAGUUGGGAAUCUUGGACAAUGGGGGAAACCCUGAUCCAGCCAUGCCGCGUGAGCGAUGAAGGCCUUCGGUU